UAGGGUGUAGAAGCGAACUUGGGGAACUGAAAUAUCUAAGUACCCAAAGGAAAAGAAAUCAACAGAGAUUCCCUUAGUAGCGACGAGCGAAAGGGGACCAGCCCUUAAGUUUAUAUUUUGUUAGUGGAAGCACCUGGAAAGUUGCGCGAUAGAGGGUGAUAGUCCCGUACACGAAAGCAAGAUAUAGAUGAAAUCGAGUAGGACGGGGCACGUGAAACCUUGUCUGAACAUGGGGGGACCAUCCUCCAAGGCUAAAUACUCUCAGCUGACCGAUAGUGAACCAGUACCGUGAGGGAAAGGCGAAAAGAACCCCUGUGAGGGGAGUGAAAUAGAACCUGAAACCAGAUGCAUACAAGCAGUGGGAGCAUGUCUUCGGACGUGUGACUGCGUACCUUUUGUAUAAUGGGUCAGCGAGUUACUUUUUGUGGCAAGGUUAACCGUAUAGGGGAGCCGUAGGGAAACCGAGUCUUAAUAGGGCGUCUUAGUCGCAAGGAGUAGACCCGAAACCGGGCGAUCUAGCCAUGGGCAGGUUGAAGGUUGAGUAACAUCAACUGGAGGACCGAACCCACUAAUGUUGAAAAAUUAGGGGAUGACCUGUGGUUAGGAGUGAAAGGCUAAUCAAGCCCGGAGAUAGCUGGUUCUCCUCGAAAUCUAUUUAGGUAGAGCCUCUCGUAUUACCAUCGGGGGUAGAGCACUGUUUGGGCUAGGGGGUCAUCUAGACUUACCAACCCCAUGCAAACUCCGAAUACCGAUGAGUACAGCGAGGGAGACACACGGCGGGUGCUAACGUCCGUCGUG
rnacentral:rRNA from 1 species